rnacentral:ncRNA from 1 species
GACCAAUCGGGACUAAAGAUGUUUCUAGGGAUUUGGACUUUUAGAACGGUUCUUAAUCUAGCUGGAAUAUUUAUGUUUUGUGGCUUAGGAUAAAAAUAGGGAAUUUUCGGUGGAGCGGUGAAAUGCAUUGAGAUCAGAAACAACACCAACGGCGAAAGCACUAUACUGGACCGACAUUGGCACUGAGAGAUGAAAGCUAAGAGAGCAAAUGUGAUUAGAGACCCAGUAGUUCUAGCCCCCAAAAAGAGAUGUGAUAAUCUUGAAGAGAAAAUUAUAUUUAUUGGUAAAGCAGUUAUACUUUUUUCC